UUCCUACUCUGUCUGUUUCAAAUUAGUUGUUUUAAAUUUGUUUAGAUACAAAUGUAUUUAGACAUGUUUUAGUGUUAUGUACAUUCGUAUCUAAACAAAUUUAAGACAAUUAAUUUGGGACGGGCAUAAUAUUAG
rnacentral:pre_miRNA from 1 species